rnacentral:misc_RNA from 1 species
GGAAGUUCUUGCAUCACCUGGUAGAACAAAUCUAUACUAUCUUCAUAGCUUGUCAAAAACGAAGAUACAAGUCCAUCCUCUAGCAUUGGUAAUCUAUAGCCAUCUUGGUCUGCUACAAAAGGUUGGGUCCAGAAAUCUUCACUUGUAUUUUCAAAUGUUUCAAAUGAAGGGAGGCUAUCUUCCGCAAUCCAGUCUGAACUUGAACUUGUACUAGAUACUGUAACCAGUGCAGAAUCUGAGGUCCAGUGGGAAAGCUCGCUAGAAGAAGGCUCUGGGGAUAAUGGAGAGCUUUCCAAUAUUCCGUGUGAAGGAGUAUCUGGGACAAAUUUCUCAACUUUCAGAUCUCCAUUCUUGCUGAUGACCUCACAUUGAGAAGUUUCACUUGGUUGCUCCAUUGAGUAAUCUUCUUUCAAUCCAGGUUCACUAUUGCUUUCCUUUGUGAGUUUCUUCAGAUGGGUGUGCCAGUAAUUUUUGAUCUCAUUGUCUGUUCUUCCCGGUAAUUGUGCAGCUAUCCUUGACCAUUUAUUUCCUAAUUGUUUAUGUAAUUUGAUNNNNNNAUCCUCUUCUUCUUUGGAGUAGUUUCCAUGUUUUACACCCGAACGAAGGUAGUUCAUCCAUCUCAAUCUGCAACUCUUGCCACAUCUUUGUAGUCCUGCAUAUUUG